rnacentral:rRNA from 1 species
AUACGGAGGGUGCGAGCGUUAUCCGGAAUCAUUGGGUUUAAAGGGUCCGCAGGCGGAUUAAUAAGUCAGUGGUGAAAUCCUCUCGCUCAACGAGAGAACUGCCAUUGAAACUGUUAGUCUUGAAUUCGGUCGAAGUAGGCGGAAUGUGUCAUGUAGCGGUGAAAUGCAUAGAUAUGACACAGAACACCGAUAGCGAAGGCAGCUUACUAGACCUGGAUUGACGCUCAUGGACGAAAGCGUGGGGAGCGAACAGGAUUAGAAACCCUAGUAGUCC